UCUUCUUCUACAGCCCGCUGCUCUUUCUAAUUCAUUGCAGCUUCACCGCCGUUUUCGACUUCUCACCGGUUGCUAUAAACCGUCGGUUUUAUUUCGAUUCUCCCCGGUUCAAACCUACUACAACCGUCGGUUCUUCUGAUUUCAAUUUCAAGUUCUCUCCUGUUCUUCUCUGUUCUCACAAGAUCAUUUAAGAAACCUGGAAAAGUACGAGUCGAUAAUCGAUGUUUUUAAUUGUUACGUUUAUUUUGGAAAUCGCAAACCACCGUUAACUCUAUCUUGACAUGCUUACUGAUGUUCAAGGGAUCACUUCAAUCAAGUGAAUGAAUACAAGCAAAGGAUACAAAUAUCGCUCUAAUUUCGAUAUUAAGUUGAAUGAUUGAAGAAUAUGCUCCGUUCGAUUUUCGGUUGCGGAAAGAACUGUCGGUUUCCCAGCAACCGCCAUCACGAACCAGGGUUUAGACAUAACCAAAGAUACAGUUUAGUUAAUGUAAAACUGAAAUGGGUAAAGGAUAGAGUACUCGAUACUGCUGUAACAGGUGAACGAGACCUCAAAGCCGCCUGUGUAAUCAUGUCUAUCAUAGCGGCUGACCCUGGCGGUUGUGUACCAAUCUACCGACUUUCUGGCCGCCGGAGAGGUCAACUGGGUCUUCCCCACGACGUUAAAGUUUCAACCUUUAUGAGAAAAUACCCGACUAUUUUCGAUGAGUUUCAUGUUCCCGAUAGCGGUGGAACUCGUGUUCCGUGGUUUCGAUUAACCCCCGAUGCUAUAACACUAAAUCAAGAAGCCGUUCAGGUUUUUCGAGAAAACCAGAAAGAUUUUCGUGAUAGGGUUUGUAAGCUUCUUAUGCUCACCAGAGACAUGAUUCUUCCUAUAGCGACAAUCGAUCAGUUAAAAUGGGAUUUGGGUUUGCCGUAUGAUUAUGUCGACUCGUUCAUCCCGAACUACAAAGACGUUUUCUCGUUAACUCGUCUUUCUGACGACCGCGUUGCUUUAAAGCUUCUAUCGUGGCAGAACGAGCUUGCGGUUUCUCAACUAGAAACCGAUGCAAUAUCACAACAAACGGAAGAAGAUGUUCGGACCGGUAGGUUACGUUUUCGUGUCGGUUUUCCGAGAGGAUUUGGGUUAAAACGGAAAUCUAUCGAGUGGUUAGAAGAAUGGCAAACGCUCCCGUAUACUUCUCCAUACACGGAUUCAAGCCAUUUGGACUCACGAACGGAUGUUUCCGAAAAAAGAAUCGUGGGUGUGUUUCACGAGCUUUUGCACCUUACCGUCGAAAAGAAAACCGAACGCCAAAACGUUAGUAAUCUUCGAAAGCCGCUAAACCUUCCUCAGAAGUUCACUAAGGUUUUCGAACGUCAUCCGGGCAUUUUCUACAUUUCCAAGAAGAACGACACGCAAACGGUUGUUCUUCGGGAAGCUUACGAUGGUGAUCGGCUUGUUCACAGACACCCGAUUUCGGAAAUCAGGAAUAAGUUUGCGUGCUUGAUGAAAGAAGGGUUUUUGGGUAGGAGCCGUGGGUUGUAUAAGAAACACCCUGCUGCAAAUUUCGGUGAAAACGACGAAUUACAUCAGAUAUGUAAGUCUGAAUUAUUUGAAAAUGGAAUUGAAUCUGAAGAGGAAUACGAGGGUCGUAUGUUUUCGGAAUAUGAAUCUGAUGAAACCAAUCGACUUUUCGAAUUGUGCGAAUAGCAGCUUGCAUAUACUGUAAGUUAGUUUGAAGUGUUGAGGGAAUUUAUAUGAGGCAUAAUGGUUGACUUUUACAUGUAAGUAUAGUUGACUUUUUUAGCCCUUACCAGUGGAAGCUGGAUUCGAACCUCGGACCUCUGCUAGAGGGACUUAAGCGGGCCGGGGCCACCCCUCUGAAGUUUUCUUAGCCAACAGACAAGCGAAUUGGACGCGAAGGGUUGAUCUGGGAUUUCCGUACCAAAAAACCGUAAUCUUAACUUCGCCUCGGCUUUUUUUUUUUUCAAAUCCUCUCUCUAUACAGUAGCUGGUAACAUAAAGUAUUUCACAGUUUAGAGAGUGUAUUAGAUAGAAAUUCAAAUACUGUCAUUUACUGGGAUCAUCUUGCAUUCCUUAAUCAUGUAUUCCCUCAGCUCAUAAACCUUUUUACUGCUACAAUCUUACUUUUUUUUUUCUUUUCUC